AAUAGGUGUGAAAUGAUUUGUGUAUUUAUGUACUGAAGGUACAGUAUAAACAAAAAAAUUUCAAUUUAUAUUUCACGUACAGACGGUACAGGUAACUCUGCCUAAGUCAACUUUCCAUAUGUGGUUAUUCGCCCAUUUAUGAGACCAGAUUAUUCAAAACAUGUUGGAUAUUCUAAGUCUUAUUUUUCUUAUAACCUAGUUCCUAUCGUCAUGAUUGGUGCCACAAUGGAAACGGUGGUCUUAAUCGUGGGAUAAUCGUAAUGAUCAUAUCAGAUCCUAUAAGAUAAGUCAAGGCAGUCGCAUUUAUGGCAAAUUUUUUUUGUGAAUGUUCAAAAAAUUUACGGUAUUCAGUUACAAAAGGAAAAUGGUGGCAUUCUUAAUGGAUCGCACGUCAGUGGGAACGCGGUACAAGUCAAACAGAUUUCUGCAGUCCCUAAAGAUUUGACCUGUAUUGGAAUGAUCAUACUUCAGCAUUUUGAUGUUCUGUCCCCUCCCUUUUUCUCUCUCUAUUCUCUUUCUGUAUUCUCUUUCUCUCCUCUUUCUGCCUCUGGUAUGUAUGUACAGAAAUGAACAUGUAAUGUUUCACUGGCUCUCCAUAUUGUAUUGACAAAUUGAGUGAAAAGGAGGAAAAUAUUAAACAGAAAUACACGUAAACUUUGAUUUUAGGAUUUUGUGAUUUAUUAAUCGCUUUUGAUACAAGACACAAUAGUCCAUGUCGUAAAUUUGCCAGAAUAAAACCUGGAACAAAGAAUGUAAAUGCUUUCUUUCUUUGCAUUACUUUCAAAAAGAUUCUGCAUAUAUUCAAAUGCAAGAAAUACGUAUUUGGAAAUUUUUGUCACGAUACAAGAAUAUGGUUGUCUGGCCGACAAUGAUUGCCAAAUCAUCCAAUAUUUUUCUUAAAAGGAAUACAUUCAAUCAACGUGUUUGCUGAUACCAUUUGAAAAUAAUGAUAGUAUAUUUGCUUCAAAAUGCUUCAUCAUUGUUAUAAAGAUGAGUGCCAAUAUGCACAUAAUAUGUAGCAUGUAAUCUCAUUAUUACACAGAAGCAUGUCUCAUGAUAUACCACAUGACUAGGAAUUUAAACGAUCUUCGGUGGAACACCUAAAAUUCUUUUACUAAACCAACAAUUGAACUUGACUUUUUUUUUAUUCUAGUCAGAAAGUGUAACAAAUAAGUCUUCUUUCAUUACUAGGCAGCAUGGGUCCCAAAUCAGAACUUUAAGGUAUUAUUUAAAUCUGGUUUAAUAAUAACUAUACAUUUGCAUUGGGCAAUUUCUAUACAUAAUCCACUGCGCAUUACAAUGUUAUUAUUACCCCGGCUAAAGUCAUGCUGCCCACAUGCGCUCUGGCCAUUGAGGAAUUUUUUCCUACCGGGUACCCAUUUACCUCACCUGAGUGCACCGCGAUGCGGGUUAAUUUCUUUCUGACGGAAAACACGCCAUGGAUGGGAAUCAAACCCACGUCCCUCAGAUUGAAAGAAGAGACAAAACCACUAGAUCACAACUUGUUACUGGGUUAAGCUGUAUAUUUCUAUUAUUCAUAGGGCUUUUAGUGAAGACGACUUUUGGAAAUAAUGCUCAUUUCCCCAAAAAGCCAACUGGAAUGUCAUCUGUAAUUAUAUUUGGUUACCCAUAAUUAUUGAGUUCAGAAUAUUUUUUCAGGUAAACUCUUAAGCUAGCCGUAAUUACAUCACCUUUUCAUAUCCAAUUCAACCCCAUGCAUGUAGUAUUUUUUUAGCAAAUAAGCUACAUUGAAUUGUCACAUCAAAAAUAUAAAAUUACAUUUUAAUCAACUAUUUUGUUUUCUUUUGGCCCAUCAAACAACUGGUCAUGGAAGUAUAAGGUUUAUUUUUUAACUCCUGGGCCCCAAUGCAUAGAAGUUACCAUUGUGGUCUUUACCAUCCAAUGGUAACUUGCAUGGAAUCCUUGAGUUUGAUUGGAUGCUGAUCAUCGUUGCUGUGGUAGUUACCAUUGGAUUUUACAAAGGGGCCCAAGGUCAAAGAUUAUUUUGCUUAUAGAAAUACCACACAAUACACUCUCCAUUUUAAAAUAAAUAAAUCUCUUGGACAAAAUGUAUAUCAUAUCACAUAAACCAUAUAAAAAUACAAUGACGUUGCACUGAAAUUUGCGAAACAACACCGGUGUUUUAAUUGCACAAAAUUAUGAAAUUUAGUAGUAUACAGAUAGCACCGCUCCCAUUACUUGUACAUAAACAUACAAGGUCUUGACAGAUCUUGGGCCCCGUUUCAUAAAGAUUUACAACUAAGGUAACUUAACUACCAUGGCAACCUUGAUUGUGAUUGUCUGCCGAGCCUCGUUAUCAUGGUAGUUGCAAUAAUGGUCAAGUUACUGUAUAAUAGUUGGGGGAUGCAGCAAAACCGUACUUUGUCAAUGUAAAUAAAUAUUUAUAGAUUGCUUGUUAUAGAUGAGAAUUAAUUCCAUCUUCGUAAAAGAUCAACCAGUGGGGCGUUUCACAUUUCAUGCCUAGUUGCUUGUGUUAUAAAAGGCAUGACCGCAUUGGUCAGAUCAUGCCAAGAGGACGCGCACUAAGUACUGCAUACUAGCCAAUAAGAUUGCGCAUUGCAUAUCAUGUACACAUCAACAUUUAAGUGCCACUCUAAGUCAUACUUAAAUAUGUGUGAAACACAUCCUUAACAUCAAUGUGCCAUAGAGCAUGUUUGUGAGGGAUUAUAAAUUUAUAAAUUAACAUAAUGAAGAUAAUGAUGUUUUUCUCCCUGAUGAAAUGACAUGAUCACAAUGAAAAUCCACAAGAAAUACGGUACAUGGUAUGCCAAAAGGGGGUUUCUCUAACAUUUAUAAUAUAUGAGCUUAAGUUCAGAUUACAUGUAUUCUGAUUUUAAUUGACAUUCUUACUACCAGUACACAUUAAAUGCAAAGUAUAUAUUUGUGUCAAUUUCAAAGAAAUUACAUGUAAAUCUUUUUUUAUUAUUAUCAAAAUGAUAUUUACCAAGGUAAAACUAAAAAAACAAACUUAGGGCUUGUAUUUUUCCAGUUCUCUCUUCUGUUGUUUUUAUAGAAUCAUCAUGCAUAAAAUGAUAAAUUGCGUAACAAAACACCCUGACACAAAAGACCACAUGUAUGUGACAGACCAGAAGAUGACUCGACAAUUGGUUCUCAUGGAAAAAUUUGGAGUUUUUUUCAUGUAUAGCAAUGGCAGUAGAGAGAAGUGGGUAAACUUUCGCUGGUAGACUCGCAAAUUUUCCCAUGAAAACAAACCCAAGUGAUGUGCUACAUGUGUUUGAUGAUAACUGAAAGAUACAUGUAAAA